AUAUUAGUUAUGUUUAAGAAUUAAUAUUUAAUACUUAAAAUCAUUUAUGCUGGGUUUUAGUGUUUUGUCGUUGUUCAAAACUGAGUUGCUGAGUAGCUGGAUUUUGUUUACUGAGUUAAUUAUGUUCAUGAUUUUUGUUAGGAUCUUGGGAUUUAUCUCUUAUAUAUUGUGGGACUUAUUAAUUUGCAUAAUAUCUUAAUGUGGUUACCAAUAAUUUUCAGUGAGGAUAGACGACUAAGAUGGAUUUUCAGCAAUUUUUUGAGGAGGAAACUCCAAUCUCACUUUCAUGUUAAGGAGCUAACCUUCAAAAUCUGGCAUGGGAUCGUGACAUGUUGGAUUAAUAGGAUGCAUGUCUGAUGACGAUUGUUUGCUAAAGGAGAAUGCAGACUUCUAAUUAUCCACAACUCCAGUACGAAAUGUCAAGUUUGAGAGUGGAUUCCUUUGUGAAUAACUCGUAGUUUUAGAUUGUGUCUUCUUGAAGCCACGAAUUGAGAGUGCUGACACAGGAGAAUUGGAUGCCCGAAAGUGUUUGGCCAUGAGAUCAGAAUUGCUGGGUCUAUCAAUAACCUGGGACGAUGAUGGAGAUUGUUCGACCGUGGUAGAACUUCUCUUAAGAGGCAGUAGUGGUUUCAAGUUCGGAUCUAUUUAAUAUUAACCAUUAGCAUUGACCUAACCAAAGGACCUUGCAUGUUAAUAUGAUGAGUUAAUGAAGCUCACCGGCUGGGAUUGUCCUUUUAAAUGUUGGACCUUGUGGUGGUAUUCUUCUCUGAUUUAAAAUGAAUAUCCGAUGCAUGCUAGCUAAUUUCGGGCUAAGUCUGAAGUCACUGUGGUCCAUUAUAUCAAAACGGGAGAUGCAACAACAGAGAUAGGAAGCUAAUGAAAUUGUUCAGUAGUUGUGAUAGUAGAACUAUGAAACGCAAACAUGAGAAAAAAUGCUUUGCAGAGAAGGAAUGACAAAUGGUACACACUCAGCUAGUAUCGGGAAUGUGAGUUAGAUUGUGAAUAUGGAGUAAUGCACAUUUUGAUCCAACAUUUUGGUUUAUUGUGGAACUAAGUGGGAACACGGGAAAUGAAAAAAUUUGGAUGGAUGAGGCUUGAAAUGUCGUGGUGGCGGGGUAACAAAUCAAGUAAUCCAUCUAAUGAUAAGAAUUUAACAACGGAAGUUGGGAAAAUCAUGUUGUGUACAUGAGCCCCGCUUAAUUUAGGGAAUAUACUGUUCUAGUUCAUUUUA